CACCGAUGGUACACCGUGUCAAAUAGGGCAAUGCGGGAGAGUAGGUAGCCGCCUUUU
rnacentral:rRNA from 1 species